rnacentral:rRNA from 1 species
AUACGGAGGGUCCAAGCGUUAUCCGGAUUCAUAGGGUUUAAAGGGUCCGCAGGCGGGAAAAUAAGUCAGUGGUGAAAGCCUACAGCUCAACAGUAGAACUGCCAUUGAUACUGUUUUUCUUGAGUAUAGAUGAAGUGGGCGGAAUAUAUCAUGUAGCGGUGAAAUGCAUAGAUAUGAUAUAGAACACCGAUUGCGAAGGCAGCUCACUAAACUAUUACUGACGCUCAGGGACGAAAGCGUGGGGAGCGAACAGGAUUAGAAACCCUAGUAGUCC